AUUCUACUCCCUCCGUCCGGAAAUACUUGUCAUCAAAAUGAAUAAAAGGGGAUGUAUCUAGAUGUAUUUUAGUUCUAGAUACAUCCCUUUUUGUACAUUUUGAUGACAAGUAUUUUCGGACGGAGGGAGUACUAG
rnacentral:pre_miRNA from 1 species